ACCUUUUGUACGGCAGCCUGAUUCUAGGCUGAUGGCUGGUGACUUUUGGGUCACCAGCCU
rnacentral:sRNA from 1 species